rnacentral:rRNA from 1 species
GAUGAACGCUGGCGGCGUGCCUAAUACAUGCAAGUCGAGCGAACAGACGAGGAGCUUGCUCCUUCGACGUUAGCGGCGGACGGGUGAGUAACACGUAGGUAACCUACCUAUAAGACUGGGAUAACUUCGGGAAACCGGAGCUAAUACCGGAUAAUAUUUCGAACCGCAUGGUUCGAUAGUGAAAGAUGGCUUUGCUAUCACUUAUAGAUGGACCUGCGCCGUAUUAGCUAGUUGGUAAGGUAACGGCUUACCAAGGCAACGAUACGUAGCCGACCUGAGAGGGUGAUCGGCCACACUGGAACUGAGACACGGUCCAGAGUCCUACGGGAGGCAGCAGUAGGGAAUCUUACGCAAUGGGCGAAAGCCUGACGGAGCAACGCCGCGUGAGUGAUGAAGGUCUUCGGAUCGUAAAACUCUGUUAUUAGGGAAGAACAAACGUGUAAGUAACUGUGCACGUCUUGACGGUACCUAAUCAGAAAGCUACGGCUAACUACGUG